rnacentral:rRNA from 1 species
GGUUAAGCGACUAAGCGUACACGGUGGAUGCCCUGGCAGUCAGAGGCGAUGAAGGACGUGCUAAUCUGCGAUAAGCGUCGGUAAGGUGAUAUGAACCGUUAUAACCGGCGAUUUCCGAAUGGGGAAACCCAGUGUGAUUCGUCACACUAUCAUUAACUGAAUCCAUAG